GUAACCUUAUUGUUUCCAUCACGUGUGUCUUCUCUGCAUCUCAGGGGCGAGCCCUGGGGCUCUUUGCAUUAACAAAUGGGACCGCAGAAAUUCGUGAGAGACGGAGAAUAGCGUCGAGGUGCAGAAGGGAUCCCGCACACCGGGGUGACAGUGCGGCCUUCGGCGGGGGCCUGGCGGAAGGAAGGCCCCGUUGUGAAGGGAGCUGGUCUGGAGUCAGGGCCGGGCGGAGAGAGGGCCCAGGGGGCGAAGCGAGCUGCCAUGGCCAGCGUGGAGUCAAACAGCCGCGGUGUAGAGGCCUUCCGCUGUCUCAUAAGAAAGAUCUGCGGCUGGCAGCAGCGUGUCAGUGAGGCAGGAUGCUGAUGCUGCCACUGACAGCAUCUUGACGUGGUGGUAAGAGGCCUGAACUCGUGCUGCCCUUACCAGAACUGUGACUAGGCAGCCAGCCAGUCACAUGGUGGGCAAUGCUCCCUGGUGCUGCCGGGCCCUGCCCAUGGUCACACCUGGGGCUGGCCGGCAACCCUGAGCAAAGCAUCUGUUGUUGGAGGGAUAGAAGGUCUUCAGCUCUAAUUGGCUGGCUCUAGAGGAUAUGCAGUCGCUGACCCUCACGGUCAGUUGUACCUUCUAUUUAAAACCUUAGCUACAGUGAUUUUCAGGAAACAAGGCAUUUCAUGCAUGGGUUACGUUCUGUGAAAUCCUGGUUCACCAGUCAGGGGCUGGAGCUUGAUGGUUCUUGAGGUCCCUUCCAACCCAAGCCAUUCUGUGAUCAUCAACAGGAAGUUAGUCAUCUUCUCUAAUGGGCCUUGUCGGUCCUUGGCUUGCAGCUCUUCUCGUCUGUUUAUUUGCAGGAUGGGUUGUCCUCCCAGUUUACCAGCUGAGGAAGUGAGCAAAGAUCUGUUUCUGCCAACAUUGGCCUGUGCAAAGUGAAUGUAGGGCAUUAUUUAUUAAAGAUCAUACGAGUUCACUUAAACUGGUGAGAGUCAAACAAGGUGGCAUUCAGGCAGCUAUCGUUAGUCAAGAUGGUCUAAUGAAGGUGACUGUGGGGAAACCAUAUCUCCUAUUAGACCAUCGUGUAUCAUUUGGAAAAAAGAGACCCAGACAUUCUUCUGGGUAAUUCAAAAGAAUGAGCCUCCUCCUGUGCCUGGGUGAGGCCUCCGGGCAUGCAAUCCUUCAAUCCAGUUCCAUUCACUUUGCUUACAAUGCUCCUUCAUAGCAUAAAUUUGAGGCUUGUCCAAAUUUAAAUGAUUCCUGGGUGACUCUGAGCAAGGACAACCCACUAACUGAUAGCAGGCACAAUCUCCAGGUCACUCCAUUGAAGGGCUGUUGUAGCUAUGAUUGAACCUAGUACUGAUUAAGAAACUCUUCCUACAGCAUGCUAGAAAAACCAUAUGGGUUUGUGGCUGUCAAGCAUGAUUCUUUUUGCAGUGUUUCCUCUCAUACUGGGUUAGAGGACAUAAACCAUGUCAGACACAAAGCAUCAGACUCAGAAUUUUGUGUUUUUUCAAAAUUAUAUCAGUCUAAUAAAAUAUACUAUUUUAUUUCUCCCUAUAAAGUGGCUAUUACAGCAUUGCUGUCACGUGGCUGAACUCUGCACUGUCCGUCUCUGCAGUCUCAGUCCCACCUUUUCUACACACCAGAAGCACACCUGAGCUGGAGAGAGAGGAGCUGCCAGAACAGAAACAUGGAGGUACUGAGCUCCAGUCAGCUGCUGUCACCGUUCCCAGCUUAAUUCACCACCAGUGAUCCCAUGGUUAACACAGUCCUUGGGGGUCUUUGUGCCCACAGCUCAGCCUUCCCUAGCGUUACAGAAGGCAAGCAGGAACUGACGCUGGGAACCAGUUAUCACAGCCCUUGGAACAAGCAUCCUGUUGAAGUACUGAUAUAGAGAAGUGAAGUUAGCAAGUUAAAGACUUGAGAGUAUUUUUGUUGGAGAAAGGAGUUGAUGAGCGAGUUCUAAUUGGGGAGUUUAUAAUAGAAUACAAUUAUAGAGUUGUGUUUUUUGUGAGUUCUGAGAAAACAAAGAUAUUUGAGAAGAGGACGCCCAACAACUGUAAAAUAAACAUGCUGAGAAGCAGAGAUUUGUAGGGACAGGCAGUUCAGCUACCCAAGGAAGGCUGCAACGACCACAACAGCUUCACGUUCACUGAAAACUUGAUUCUAAUUUGCAGCAUGUGAUUUACUGUUACAGAUAGGCAAAGUUUCAAUGAUAAUAACUUAAAAUAAUCCUUUGAAAAGCAGCAGUGUAUUAAAAAGAUGACAAUAAAGAUGAGCCACGAGGCCAAAAAUGGAAGUUUUUAAUAAUUGCUGAGCUGAGGCAUUACCAGAUAUAGCAAACAGGUAGGCAGGCCCAGGGAGAACAGACUCAGCAGGAGCCACGACAAAGCAGUUGGAAAAUAGAUAUGUGGAUGUUCCAAGGCAGCCCACUGAGAGUACUUACGUCACUGGGAGGGUAUCUCUUGAAUAUUCAACACACGUAGCAGGAAUAUUAUGAUCUCUUAAGAACAUUCUAUGGUUCUGUAACCUCUGGGUUAUAAAUGUUCAGCACUACAUUUUCUAAGCAAACUUCUCAUGUCCUCAGUUCACUUUUGACUGAACUAGUUUUGCUUAGCUUGUGUGUGUGUAUAUAUAUGCGUGCGAGUAUAUAUGUACACGUGCGUAUAUAUAAAAAUAUUCAUAUACUUACUAAAAGAUUUGCAGCAAAGUUCACCAUCCAGACAUGAAACUAACACUGAGACCAGCACCCACGUGGGGAUGCCUGUAACACCGAGGAGCUGCACACAACUCUAAAUGGCACAGCUAUCACUACUGUGUUCUAGGGGUCUCAACCAAAAUGUUAUUUUCACAUUUGCAGGUAAAUUUCAACUCAGUUUCAAGUUGAAGCUAUCCCCCCCCCCCCCUCCAAAUGUAAUGGUAUUACCACAC
ensembl:lncRNA